UCCCUGGUGGCUCAGAGGUUAAAGCAUCUGCCUGCAAUGCGGGAGACCUGGGUUUGAUCCCUGGGUUGGGAA
rfam:Ovis aries breed Texel chromosome 10, whole genome shotgun sequence.